CUCGCACUCUGGGAUAAGCCUGGGAAACUGGGUCUAAUACCGGAUAUGACCAGGGAAUGCAUGUUUCUUGGUGGAAAGGUUUACUGGUGCGAGAUGGGCCCGCGGCCUAUCAGCUUGUUGGUGGGGUAACGGCCUACCAAGGCGACGACGGGUAGCCGACCUGAGAGGGUGACCGGCCACACUGGGACUGAGACACGGCCCAGACUCCUACGGGAGGCAGCAGUGGGGAAUAUUGCACAAUGGGCGAAAGCCUGAUGCAGCGACGCCGCGUGAGGGAUGACGGCCUUCGGGUUGUAAACCUCUUUCGACAGGGACGAAGCGCAAGUGACGGUACCUGUAGAAGAAGCACCGGCCAACUACGUGCCAGCAGCCGCGGUAAUACGUAGGGUGCGAGCGUUGUCCGGAAUUACUGGGCGUAAAGAGCUUGUAGGCGGUUCGUCGCGUCGAUCGUGAAACCUUGCAGCUCAACUGCGAGCCUGCGGUCGAUACGGGCGGACUAGAGUACUUCAGGGGAGACUGGAAUUCCUGGUGUAGCGGUGAAAUGCGCAGAUAUCAGGAGGAACACCGGUGGCGAAGGCGGGUCUCUGGGAAGUAACUGACGCUGAGAAGCGAAAGCGUGGGUAGCGAACAGGAUUAGAUACCCUGGUAGUCCACGCCGUAAACGGUGGGUACUAGGUGUGGGUUUCCUUCCACGGGAUCCGUGCCGUAGCUAACGCAUUAAGUACCCCGCCUGGGGAGUACGGCCGCAAG
rnacentral:rRNA from 1 species